rnacentral:rRNA from 1 species
UAGUGAGUUUGAUCCUGGCUCAGGACGAACGCUGGCGGCGUGCCUAAUACAUGCAAGUCGAGCGCAGGAAGCUCACGGAACUCUUCGGAGGGAAGUGAAGGGAAUGAGCGGCGGACGGGUGAGUAACACGUAAGGAACCUGCCCCAGGGACUGGGAUAACUCCGAGAAAUCGGAGCUAAUACCGGAUCUGUCACGAGACCGCAUGGUCCCGUGAUGAAAGGCGCUCCGGCGUCACCUUGGGAUGGCCUUGCGGUGCAUUAGCUAGUUGGUGCGGUAACGGCGUACCAAGGCGACGACGGCUAGGGGGCCUGAGAGGGUGACCCCCGACACUGGAACUGAGACACGGGUCCAGACUCCUACGGGGAGGCAGCAGUGAGGAAUCUUGCACAAUGGGGGCAACCCCUGAUGCAGCGACGCCGCGU